rnacentral:rRNA from 1 species
GUUGGGCACUAGGUGUGGGGUCCAUUCCACGGAUUCCGUGCCGCAGCUAACGCAUUAAGUGCCCCGCCUGGGGAGUACGGCCGCAAGGCUAAAACUCAAAGGAAUUGACGGGGGCCCGCACAAGCGGCGGAGCAUGCGGAUUAAUUCGAUGCAACGCGAAGAACCUUACCAAGGCUUGACAUACACCGGAAAAGUGCAGAGAUGUGCUCCCCGCAAGGUCGGUGUACAGGUGGUGCAUGGCUGUCGUCAG